ensembl:ncRNA lncRNA:CR44626 long non-coding RNA:CR44626
CAAUCCACCCAGGUGAAAGGAAUUAUAUAUUCCCCUGAUUAUAAUUUCAUCAGCGGCAACACUAAAGAAUCAUCGAAGGCACGCCGAAGACAGCCAUCCACUUCACUCCGCGCGAUGUGGUUGCAAUGAUUGAGUGGUGGGGCUGCAGGAUGCGCCUCUCCCAACAUUUUGGCUGGAAGCAGGGGCAGGAGCUGGAGCAGGACCUGUCGUGGCAAGAGCUCCGCAUGCCCCAACAAGCUGGCUGGCUGGCAGAAAUCAAUUGUUCCCAUUAUUAUAAUGAGAUUACUUACCUACUGAACGACAAAACGUAGUGCCCAGAAAGCAAGCAAGUCCUUCUCCUUUCUUUCUCGA